CUGGCGGCACGCCUAACACAUGCAAGUCGAACGAAGUAGCAAUACUGAGUGGCAGACGGGUGAGUAACAUGUGGGUAUCUGCCCUUUGGCCUGGAAUAACACGAGGAAACUUGUGCUAAUACCGGAUAAGUCUUUACGGAGAAAGCUUUAUGCACCAUUGGAUGAGCCCGCACUUGAUUAGUUUGUUGGUAGGGUAACGGCCUACCAAGACUGUGAUCAAUAGCUGAUUUGAGAGGAUGAUCAGCCACAUUGGGACUGAGACACGGCCCAAACUCCUACGGGAGGCAGCAGUGGGGAAUCUUGCACAAUGGAGGAAACUCUGAUGCAGCGAUGCCGCGUGAGUGAAGAAGGCCUUUGGGUUGUAAAGCUCUUUCGUCGGGGAAGAAAAUGACUGUACCCGAAUAAGAAGGUCCGGCUAA
rnacentral:rRNA from 1 species